rnacentral:rRNA from 1 species
UACAGAGGGUGCGAGCGUUAAUCGGAAUUACUGGGCGUAAAGCGUGCGUAGACGGUUAUGUAAGUCGGAUGUGAAAGCCCCGGGCUCAACCUGGGAAUUGCAUUCGAGACUGCAUAGCUAGGAUGCGGAAGAGGGAAGUGGAAUUUCCGGUGUAGCGGUGAAAUGCGUAGAUAUCAAGUGGAACACCAGUGGCGAAGGCGAGUCCCUGGACACUUCCUGACACUGAGGCACGAAAGCUAGGGGAGCAAACAGG